rnacentral:rRNA from 1 species
UACAGAGGUCCCAAGCGUUGUUCGGAUUCACUGGGCGUAAAGGGUGCGUAGGCGGUCGGGUAAGUCUGACGUGAAAUCUCCAAGCCUAACUUGGAAACUGCAUUGGAUACUAUCCGGCUCGAGGAAUGGAGGGGAGACUGGAAUACUUGGUGUAGCAGUGAAAUGCGUAGAUAUCAAGUGGAACACCAGUGGCGAAGGCGAGUCUCUGGACAUUUCCUGACGCUGAGGCACGAAAGCCAGGGGAGCAAACGGG